AGGGGAAUAUUGCACAAUGGAGGGAACUCUGAUGCAGCGACGCCGCGUGAACGAAGAAGGCUUUCGAGUCGUAAAGUUCUUUUAUAUGGGAAGAUAAUGACGGUACCAUAAGAAAAAGCCCCGGCUAACUACGUGCCAGCAGCCGCGGUAAUACGUAGGGGGCUAGCGUUGUCCGGAAUCACUGGGCGUAAAGGGUUCGCAGGCGGAAAUGCAAGUCAGGUGUAAAAGGCAGUAGCUUAACUACUGUAAGCAUUUGAAACUGCAUAUCUUGAGAAGAGUAGAGGUAAGUGGAAUUUUUAGUGUAGCGGUGAAAUGCGUAGAUAUUAAAAAGAAUACCGGUGGCGAAGGCGACUUACUGGGCUCAUUCUGACGCUGAGGAACGAAAGCGUGGGUAGCAAACAGG
rnacentral:rRNA from 3 species